GUCCUGGGUUUGAUGGUGGUUAGUUAGUCCAAGGUAAAUAAAGACCUGUGUAGGUAUGCAAAGUAGAUGGAUGUUUAUAGACUUGAUGUCAAUUGUUGAGAGAUUCGCUUUAUACAUGUUAUUUAUUCUUAUCAUUUGUUGCCACUACAAUCCCUCCAUGGCCCCCUUUAUUCCCCUACUCCCAUGUAGUUUGUGCGUGGGACGAGGGUGGGAAGUUGAAAGCAUAUGCACAGCUUCCAUAUCCACUAUUCUUCCUUGGCCGUUAUAUCCGGACAGAAAAGGAGAAACAAAAAACAAAAAACAAAAUAAACCAAAAAAAUAAAGGUAAGGAAAGCAAAGGAACUGGAAAGCAACGAACCCCUUGAAAAAAACAAAUACUGAUCCAAGAAUCGAAAAUCACAACCUACAAUUUCGCAAAUACCCCAUUCAUCGCGGCGAACAAGCCGCUCGCAACCGCUAGGACGACCCAGCUAUGCGCCGAUGAAGAUGAGCGUGGAGCUGUAUUUUCUUUCCCUUUCCCUUUCCCUUGCCCACGCUCAUUGCCUUCUUCCUUUCGUCUUGCGGGCUCUGGCGUUGAUACUUCGCCCACAGCUGGUGAGACAUCCACGGGACUCGUGGCCUGAUUGUUGACCCUUCGACGCACCAUGUCAAAUCAAGAAUGGGUUGGGAUGAGGGUUGGGGGAAUGAUGAAAGAAGGGGUGUGGUUGUUUGUUGGUGAUGUGUAAGUAGUACUAGUAUGGAUGUAUACACGGAAGGCGGGAGAAAGCAAAUUCAAUGGGAGAUAUUUAUCGUUAUUGAGCCGGCCGGCAAUAACUAAAUUGUCCAGCUAUAUGGGGGGAAUGUUGGGUGGUGGAGCUAUCUAUAACUACUUCGUUUUCCGGCGGUGACGUUGAAAGAUGUAAAUGAGAGGCGUCUAAAGCGCUUGCCGCGUUUAUCAGUGUGGGGAAGAGAGAGAAUGGCAAAAGCAUCAAAACGCCAUUUUGAAACGAUGAAAAUUCAAUUGAAGCUAAAAGGAGGCGUUUGCUUCAGGGUUGGAAGCAAUCCUCCCAUUUCUUUAUAUAUAACCCAAGCUUAACAAUAACUAAAAUGUCCUCUGGAGCAGAGGUAAAGAAAGGGUUCAUAAGGACUAAAAGCGGAGCUUUGUGUCUAAUUGUUUACCAAGCAAUAUCAUGGUGUUAACGUUCGUCAGGAAGCUGGAUGUACAUGUAUACUAAGGAGCAGCUUGCUGAAGCCGGCCUUGAUGCCAAUCUCGCGCUCAUGGGCAAGUCGAGCAGGCAACGAGAUCGGUAAUCAUGUAGACGAAACGCAGCUGUCCGAGACGGAUUGAUUGCCUUCAAAUGAGCU
rnacentral:sRNA from 1 species